UUUAUUAUCAAGCUACGUACUUUGGGACUUUCGAUUGCAUCAAUUGUUGGAUUGUUUGAUUUAUGUUAAUUGUUGAAUUUUCUUGUGGGAGGUUCAUGUGUGAUAAUAUGCAAUGUAUACAAUGAUCCAAAAAGAAGGGAUUAUACCUUCCAAUAGGUUGGUCUUGGUGGUGAAUGAACAAGAAUGUGUAAUGUGAGGAGUUAGAGAAGAGCAUAAAUUGAGAAGUGGUGGUGACUCUUGGUUUGUGGGCAUUGAUGGUGGAAGAUAGAAGGUGAAGGAGUUGGAGAAGAUGAAAAGUGGAAAGUCUCCAUGGGUGGAGGGGGAAGGAAUCGGCCAUAUGUGUGAGGAAGAAGAAAAAUAUUUUUGGGCUUGUUCCCAAUUGUUUGGAAAGAAGAAUUGGACUCCCAAAUUAAAUUAAUUGAUUUGGGCUCAUUAAGUUGCAAGCCCAAUUUGUAUAAUUAUUUAGUUGGUCAUGGCCCCAAGCCAUUUAAAAGAAACAUUCGGACUCUACUUUUAAUUUGAGAAGCCCAAGAUAAAAUCGUACUUUA